GGAAGAUUUAAUCACGGGCUUACUUCGUUUUGGAAUAAAGGUCACUGAAGAGGAGCGAAGUAAAUUCAAAGAUAAUGAAGUUGACGGAGAAGCAGUGGACUAUGGAUUGACUGAGAGGAUGGUUUCAUACCUCUUUGAAGGAUCGUUUAAGAAGCAAGCCAAAUUCAACCGAUUUGUACAGCAGUGGAAAGAAACCGUGACACUAACCGUUGAGCCUGUCCCGGUACAUUCAGAGAAGGCUACAGUGGAAUCAAGAAUGAAUAUCUGCCGAAGAUUUUAAGAUGGCUUUAAGACCCUAGUACCCACAGUGCUUAGACUGACUCAAAGGAAAUCUCCCCUUGCAGAUCUGGGUUUGGAGGAAAGAGAGGCUGCCCUCACCGAAGAUGUCCCUGGGAUUGAUUUCAGAGCUGCAAUCCUGCUGUUGCCGAUCCUGUUCAGGGAGAAAAAUGACAUUCUCAUCAUACUUGGAGAGGAUCAGCCUGGUUGUAGCGCUAUCCUAUUGCAUGCAGAGGGAGUUUGAAAG